CUAAAUAKUGGACAAAGCAUCGGCCUUUAAGCCAAAGAUUGGUGAUUCCUAACCACCUCUAGUGA
rnacentral:tRNA from 1 species